ensembl:processed_transcript Snhg1 small nucleolar RNA host gene 1
CUCAUUUUUCCUUGUUCGGGGUAAGUACUCUACGUCUUUAUGUGCUGUAGUUUUCACUUUGUUUUUUUCUUGUCUUUCUCUUUUUUUUUUUUUUUUUUUUUUUUUUAGAGACAGGGUUUCUCUGUAUAGUCCUGGCUGUCCUGCUGAAACUCACUUUAUAGACCAGGGUGGCCUCGAACUAAAAUCCGCCUGCCUCUGCCACCCGAGUGCUGCGAUUAAAGUCGUGCGCCACCACGCCUGGCUCUUGUCUUUCUCUUAAUCAGCUUUCCUAUAACUGCGGCUGGCUUUUAUCACAAACACCUAUCUGUCACUGUUGUGAACCGCCGCCUGUAUUUUCUUACGUAAUGUUUAUUUCUGGUGAUUUAAAAGACCCUCGUGGGCAGCGUUAAUAAAUGUGGACUUUGGUAAUCUGUUCCGUAGUCUUAGCGGGGAGACCAUGUUAGGGCAUUCAAGACCUAAAGAUGACAGGAUUUUGUGAAGGACAAAAUGGUGGCGGCAGUGCAAGGCCACCCCCUAUGAUGAGGACCUUUUCACAGACCUGUACUGAUAUAUCUGUGAGGAUAAGUAACUCUGAGGAGGCUGGCCCUACAUCACAGCCUUCUCAUCCUUUAGAGAUUUCUUGGUGUAGAAGUAACCCGAUGCUAACUUCUCUACAGGUUUGAGGUGCCACCUUACAAAAGGAUGGGUGUACGCUCUCUUUUCAGAAUGUGGUUCAUCUCAAAGCCCUUUACACUUUGGAGCCAGGCCUGUUCAAUUUUACAAAUAACACGUUUUGCUUGUAGUCAGGUAGGUAUUGAUGGUUGGUGCUUCCUUAGGGAACAUAUUUAGAUGGCCACUUAAUGAUGAACAAUGUAAAUGACAAGCAUAUGGCUGAGUUGCAAUGAUGUCAUCUUACUACUGAAAUGGGCUGAAGAAAGAAGGUGCUGAGGUGGCUGUGAUUACAUUUAAAAAUGACAUUGUUUCUCUGUUUCCAGGGUGCUGUGACAACAUGAAGAGUUCGAGCUACCUCCCAGGAUGAGUGCAGGUAAUUGUCCAAGUAGAGCUUAGGGUUUCCCUAGGGAAAAUAGUCAAGACAGACAUUGAAGCAGCACAACACUUUUUUGCUGCUUACUAUUUGUAUUUCUAGAGGACACAUUAUGUUAAGGCCUUUGUUCUCUUAAAAACUCAACUGUCAGAUGAUUUGAAAUGAUGACACUGAACACUCCGUGAAGGUGUGAAUUUAUAGCAUGUUAGAGUUCUGAUGGCAGUUAGUGCUGACAGACAGAUUGUAAUUCUGUCCUGAUGGUUGAAAAUAACUACUUGUUACUCUUCCACAGGUUUUCCUGGUGACAAAUCUCAGGCAUUCAAAGGUUAGUUAGAUUAUUUUGGAUGGGGUUUGUUCACUAGGUUUGCUGUUUCUAUGAUGAAUCAAACUAGCUCACUAUGACUGCUAAUGAAAACACAGGAACACCUGAGAAACCAAAGGGUAGUGUGGGGGCAAGGGCCUUAUAUCCAGCCUUUUCAAGGUUUGUUAUUUUUCUCCAGGUUCUGUUAGCAGUGCCAUACUUGUGGGUUUACAGGUGAGUGAUUCCAGUGUGUGGUGUGGUGUAUGUGCAUAGCAUUGGACUGGGGUGGGGGGACCUAACUGAGAACGUACUUUGUGUAUAUAUGAUGACUUUCAUAGAAUCUCGUUCGGCUGAUGAUUGCUGUUGAGACUUGGAAAUCUGAUUUUUCUCAGAAUGAUGGGUUAGAUAGGAACAAGCUGUUGCAGGAUUUUUAACAUUGCUGAUGACUGUCUUGUUUUUCAGAGAUGGUGUGUCUGGCUGAGAACAAAGGAGCCGUACCAGGAAAGUUGAAGCAUAUCUUCAUUUUCAAGUCCAGGCUAAAAUAAGGUGAGAAAACUUAGAUGAAAAGUAUGCUGAACUAUAAUUUCCCCAUGAAGAAAUGUUCACACGUCCUACUUCCUGUCCUAGCUCCAGAGCCUGAAAAGGUGAACCCACUGGGGCUGGCUGGGGGAAAAGAGGAAACUUUGUUCCAGAAGGAACUGUCUGAGGGAUCAUUUUUGUGCGUAGAAAGGGAAGAAUUCUCACUUGAUUAAAGAGGAAUCAAAAGGUGAUUUACUUGUUUUACAGGUCUGAGGAAAAGAAUGAGCUGCGUGUGAAGGAUAGGAACAGAAAUCAUGAAAGAUCUGUUUGUCCAGGCCAGUGUUUCACCAUAAGAGAUCACUUUAAAAUAAAUGAUGAAAUAAUUCUUUGCAAUUGCAAAUUUACCUUCCUUGCUUACCACAUUGUUAACUGUAGGAGCUGAUACCUGGUUCUUCCACUGUUAACUUGUACUCUGUGUUUGUUCUAGCAAUAAAUGCUCUUUAUGC